CCUACGGGAGGCAGCAGUAGGGAAUUUUUCACAAUGGGCGAAAGCCUGAUGGAGCAACGCCGCGUGCAGGAUGAAGGCCUUCGGGUUGUAAACUGCUUUUAUAAGCGAGAAAUAUGAUGGUAACUUAUGAAUAAGGAUCGGCUAACUACGUGCCAGCAGCCGCGGUCAUACGUAGGAUCCGAGCAUUAUCCGGAGUGACUGGGUGUAAAGAGUUGCGUAGGUGGCAUAAUAAGUAGCUAGUGAAAUCUGGUGGCUUAACCAUUCAGACUAUUAGCUAAACUGUUAAGCUCGAGACCGUUAGGGGUAACUGGAAUUUCUAGUGUAGGAGUGAAAUCCGUAGAUAUUAGAAGGAACACCAAUAGCGUAGGCAGGUUGCUGGGACGGUUCUGACACUAAGGCACGAAAGCGUAGGGAGCAAACGGGAUUAGAUACCCUAGUAGUC
rnacentral:rRNA from 1 species